rnacentral:rRNA from 1 species
ACACGUAAGUUGCGAGCGUUGUUCGGAAUUAUUGGGCGUAAAGGGCAUGUAGGCGGAACCGCAAGUCUGGUGUGAAAGGCAGGGGCUCAACCCCUGGACUGCGUUGGAAACUGCGGUACUAGAGUCGCUGAGGGGCAGGCAGAAUUCCAGGUGUAGGGGUGAAAUCUGUAGAUAUCUGGAAGAAUACCGAUGGCGAAGGCAGCCUGCCAGCAGAUGACUGACGCUGAGGUGCGAAGGUGCGGGGAGCAAACAGGAUUAGAUACCCUGGUAGUCCGCACAGUCAACUAUGUACACUGGGUGUCUGGGCAGAAGUCUGGGUGCCGAAGCAAACGCGAUAAGUGUACCGCCUGGGGAGUAUGCCCGCAAGGGUGAAACUCAAAGGAAUUGACGGGG